GAAAUGCGAUAAGUAAUGUGAAUUGCAGAAUUCAGUGAAUCAUCGAAUCUUUUAACGCACAUUGCGCCCGCCAGUAUUCUGGCGGGCAUGCCUGUUCGAGCGUCAUUACAACCCUCAGGCCCCCGGGCCUGGCGUUGGGGAUCGGCGGAAGCCCCCUGCGGGCACAACGCCGUCCCCCAAAUACAGUGGCGGUCCCGCCGCAGCUUCCAUUGCGUAGUAGCUAACACCUCGCAACUGGAGAGCGGCGCGGCCACGCCGUAAAACACCCAACUUCUGAAUGUUGACCUCGAAUCAGGUAGGAAUACCCGCUGAACUUAAGC
rnacentral:misc_RNA from 1 species